UGGCUGUUAUUAUUGGAAACACUAUAG
rnacentral:piRNA from 1 species